CAAUUCCUACGGGGCGCAGCAGUAGGGAAUUUUCGUCAAUGGGCGCAAGCCUGAACGAGCGAUGCCGCGUGAGUGAAGAAGGCCUUCGGGUCGUAAAGCUCUGUUGCGGGGGAGCAAAGAGCGGGACGCGUCCCGCCUCGAGAGUACCCGGAGAAAAAGCAUCGGCUAACUCCGUGCCAGCAGCCGCGGUAAUACGGAGGAUGCGAGCGUUAUCCGGAUUUAUUGGGUUUAAAGGGUGCGCAGCCGGAAGCGCAAGUCAGCGGUAAAAUUGAGAG
rnacentral:rRNA from 1 species